ensembl:snRNA U2 U2 spliceosomal RNA
AUCGCUUCUCAGCCUUUUGGCUAAGAUCAAGUGUAGAUGCUAGGUUGAAAUAUAUAACUCUUUACAUACUGUGAUGCCAUUGUAUAAUAUUAUUUGAAAUCAAUAUUUACCUCAAAAAAGUAAAUAAUGCCU